GUCCGGAUGAAGUCUACCUGCAGUCAGAGUCGGGGACGAAGUCCGGCUCCCGUAGGAGUCCGGAUGAAGUCUACCUGCAGUUGAAGUCGGGGACGAAGUCCGGCUCCCGUAGGAGUCCGGAUGAAGUCUUCCUGCAGUUGAAGUCGGGGACGAAGUCCGGCUCUCGUAGGAGUCCGGAUGAAAUCUUCCUGCAGUUGAAGUCGG
rnacentral:lncRNA from 1 species